rnacentral:rRNA from 1 species
UCUACGGGAGGCAGCAGUGAGGAAUAUUGGUCAAUGGGCGAGAGCCUGAACCAGCCAAGUCGCGUGAGGGAGUAAUGCCCUAUGGGUUGUAAACCUCUUUUGUCGGGGAGCAAAAGCCGGACGUGUCCGGCUGUGCGAGUACCCGAAGAAAAAGCAUCGGCUAACUCCGUGCCAGCAGCCGCGGUAAUACGGAGGAUGCGAGCGUUAUCCGGAUUUAUUGGGUUUAAAGGGUGCGCAGGCGGAUUUUUAAGUCAGCGGUCAAAGCGUGGGGCUCAACCCCAUCCAGCCGUUGAAACUGGGGUUCUAGAGGUUGCGAGAGGUAUGCGGAAUGCGUGGUGUAGGGGUGAAAUGCAUAGAUAUCAAGCAGAACCCUGAUUGCGAAGGCAGCAUACCGGUGCACAACUGACGCUCAGGCACGAAAGCGUGGGUAUCGAACAGGAUUAGAUACCCGUGUAGUC